rnacentral:rRNA from 1 species
CCUACGGGAGGCAGCAGUGGGGAAUAUUGCUCAAUGGGGGAAACCCUGAAGCAGCAACGCCGCGUGAAGGAAGAAGGAUUUAGGAUUGUAAACCUCUUUUUGUAGAGAAGAAGAUGUCGGUACCUGACUAAUAAGCACCGACUAACUCCGUGCCAGCAGCCGCGGUAAUACGGAGGGGGCAAGCGUUAUCCGGAUUUACUGGGCGUAAAGGGUGCGUAGGCGGAGUAAUAAGUCAGAUGUGAAAUCCCGUAGCUUAACUCCGGAACUGCAUUUGAGACUGUGAGGCUAGAGUGUAGGAGCGGUAGGCGGAAUGCAUGGUGUAGCGGUGAAAUGCGUAGAGAUCAGGAGGAACACUAAUUGCGAAGGCGGCCUGCUGAACCAUAACUGACGUUGAGGCACGAAAGCGUGGGGAGCAAACAGGAUUAGAUACCCCGGUAGUC